ACGGAGGGGGCUAGCGUUGCUCGGAAUUACUGGGCGUAAAGCGCACGUAGGCGGCGAUGCAAGUUAGGUGUGAAAGGCCUGGGCUUAACCCAGGGACUGCACUUGAUACUGCAUUGCUAGAGUCCAAGAGAGGGUAGUGGAAUUCCCAGUGUAGAGGUGAAAUUCGUAGAUAUUGGGAAGAACACCAGUGGCGAAGGCGGCUACCUGGCUUGGUACUGACGCUCAGGUGCGAAAGCGUGGGGAGCAAACAGG
rnacentral:rRNA from 1 species